UACGUAGGGGGCAAGCGUUGUCCGGAUUUAUUGGGCGUAAAGAGCGUGUAGGCGGCUUUACAGGUCCGUUGUGAAAACUCGAGGCUCAACCUCGAGACGCCGGUGGAAACCGUAAGGCUAGAGUCCGGAAGAGGAGAGUGGAAUUCCUGGCGUAGCGGUGAAAUGCGCAGAUAUCUGGAGGAACACCGGUGGCGAAGGCGGCGUCCUGGACCAACACUGACACUGAUGAGCGAAAGCCAGGGGAGCAAACGGG
rnacentral:rRNA from 1 species